CAGCAGUGGGGAAUAUUGGACGAUGGGCGAGAGCCUGAUCCGCAAUGCCGCGUGAGUGCAAGAAGGCCUUCGUCGGGUUGUAAAGCUCUUGUACCCGGGAUGAUAAGAAGGUGUUUGACCGUACCGGGAGAAUAAGCCCCGGCUAGCCGUGCCAGCAGCCGCGGUAAUACGGAGGGGGCUAGCGUUGUUCGGAAUCACUGGGCGUAAAGCGUGCGUAGGCGGCUAUUCAAGUCAGAGGUGAAAGCCUGGGGCUCAACCCCAGAACUGCCUUUGAAACUAGGUAGCUCGAACACGGGAGAGGUGAGUGGAAUUCCGAGUGUAGAGGUGAAAUUCGUAGAUAUUCGGAAGAACACCAGUGGCGAAGGCGGCUCACUGGACCGUUGUUGACGCUGAGGCACGAAAGCGUGGGGAGCAAACAGGAUUAGAUACCCUGGUAGUCCACGCCGUAAACGAUGAUAACUAGCU
rnacentral:rRNA from 1 species